GGGUGGGUCGCCAUGGCAACCUGGUCCCCUCAUGGCCCCGCGGCCCUUGUUUACAUCCCCGGCCCUGGGACCCGCGCUGUCCUUCUUGAUCAGAAUCUGCUGUAGUCGGGGAAUCGGGAAGGGCAUUGUGCUCCGAGCUCUGUUGCUGUUCAGCCUCCGACCUCUGGCGCUUUCUGUCAUCAGGUGUCGGAGCGAUAGAAGUUCCGUCGUUGAUUUGCUGCUGGUGAUGCUUCUCACAGCCAGAGCUUUCCCUUGGGAACGUCUGUGUCCAGGACAACCCCAGCACUGAGUGACCUGAACCUAGAACUGAUCAACACCCAAUUUUAGCACCUCGGGGCAGUGCACUGAUGGUUUGGGUUGUGGCAGCGUUCCCUGCCCCGCAUCUCGGGUAAACGCAGGAGCAGCUGGCGGCUGUAGCAAGAAACUCCAGGCCUCCAGUCCAGAGUUCUGUCCGUGGGGCUGGAGUGGAGCCCUGCAGAAGCAGCUACCAGCCUCUCACCAAGCAGACAUCUGUGCUGAUGAGGAGCAGCUGCAACUAGCAACAGUGGUCACAUCACUUGCUCAUAUUUACUUACUGCUCCAAAUUCAGGUGAGAAGAGCCAUUAAAGGGCAUUUUUUUCCCGCCCAGAAAGCCCUAGAAAGAGUUCCACAUCUCUAAAUAUGAAGGGGUUUCCCAUCUUAGCCUUUCAGGUAGAGCUCUCCAGCACCACUGCACUGUGGCUUUCAGAGCUAGAAGAGCCAGGCAGCUCCUCUGAAACCAAUUUCUGAGUCAACAGCUGUGAUAAGGCACAUGCUGGACUCCAGCAGCACAUGUAAAAAUCUGCUUUAUUUAGGACAGCAUAAGAAAGGAACCUGUCUUCUCUGCUGCAUCACAGAGUCUGUGGGAGCAGCAUCUCUCUGAACCCACCUACACCAGGCGGCGGCAGCUCCUGCCUUCCACACUGACAGGAACUGCCUGCCAGGAGCUCCUUAUCGGGAAGGGAAGGGCACAGAUAAUCCCCAGAGACCUCUCAGCAGGAACUGCCCCGUGCCCAGGAGCCUGUUCUGAUCCACUGUUUGUUUUACAAAGGCAGAGGCGAGUGGCAGAGCUCUGGGAAGGUGGCACUGAGGAUGCUGCCCAGGAAAAGCACAGCAGUGCCCUGUGGAGCCAAGUGUCCACCCCACACAGGACACACAGCCCCAUGGCCCAUCCCUGGGGCACUGGGUGAUGAGCAGGCACGUUCUGCAGGGGGCUUUCCUUACCUUGGCACAACAAGUCCCAGCUUGGAGCUGCCAGCAAUGCAGCUACAGCUUGGGGCGAGAGGAAAAGCACCAACAUCUGCUACCCCAGAUGAGCCAACUUGGCAAAACCUCUAAGCCUCAAACAUCGGCUUCAUAUGCAGAAGUCUACAUUUGCAGUAUGUAAAUGUUUCUAAAAUAAUUUUCUGGCUUGAAAAUAGAGAGAUUUCCUCCCACAAGAGAUUUGUAACCAAGUUAUCCUGGUACAACUAACGAAUGGGAACACACAAGGUUAGAAUUCAUCUAGGAACUUGCAGAACAAUGCAACACCACCUGUAUCCCUGCCAGUGCAGGUCAGAGCCUUGAGAGGUGCUGCUGCAGUCUUGGGACACCCCAAAGUGUUGGAGGCAAAACAGGCUGGUAACUUGAAGCUGCUGUGGUGGCUUAACAGCAUUUGGGGGAGAGCUAUGGAGCACAAACCCUUAGUGCCCAAGCUUCUCAGUGUCCUGUCUGCUCUCACCUGAGCUGCUGGCAGAAUGCUAAGGGCCCUUGUUACCUGCCCAAACCCUGUCAAGCUGUCAGCUGUCCCCAAAAGAACAUUUCACAGAGAAUGGAGGCACAAAGAAAUCAAGGCUUAUAAACUCCCAGGAAUGUUGAGGUGUUGACUCCCAUGGAAUACAGAUACUGUAUAUAUCCAUGUAGCACUGUUUUGCCAUCUGGGGAAAAAAACCCAAUGAAACAACAAAGCAAAAAACAGGAAGGAAGAGGCCAAGCCAGGGAAAUUCAGACCUCCACACAGCACCUUCACCAGACCUUGCUUUCUGCUCUCUCCCACCCUUCACUGCUGCCUCUCAAGGAGGAGGCUGAAAAAUGCUCAGCCUAUGUAUUAGCCCAGCAGCUUCAGAACUAAUUCAAAAAUCCUCACUAACUUGGCAUGCCUGAGGUAGGAAACUCAAGUCACAUCAAGAAGAAAAUAUUUUCUUGUUUUAUUUGGCAAGAGGGAAUGAGUCCUCUAACACAAAGUGUAUUUCCUGUUGGGGAGCUAUGGGCUUUUGACACAUACACUUCAUGAGUUUUACUCCAGCCAGAUUUCCAAGAGAAAUAAAGUGGAACAAAUACCUGCCAGGAAAGGGAGCAAGACAAAAACAUGAAAUAUGUCUCCCACGACCUUAUUUCUUACUAAUUACUGCAAGUCUGAUGCUUUUAACAAGGGCAGCAAACAUACCCCAUCAAAGCAAUGAGAUCCAAUGACACUCAGCUUGCUUCAGACUCCUUUUUUCCUCUGUUCUGCUCUUCCAGAGUGGGAGGAAUAAGCCUUUCCAUUUUGGCUACACUGGGUCAGGUACUGAAAACCUGCCUGGGCUGGUCAGGGUGCUGGGCUAACAACAGUGCUGCAUUCUCCAGACACUGUAAACAGGCUGUGCACACACCAUGGGAUGUGCUGCUUGUCUCCAAGCUGGCUGUUUGCAGCCAGCAUGACACACUCCAGUUUUCCACCUCAGUGAUAUUAACAGUGUGUAUUUUGGUGCAAAUAACACCCAAACACCCCUUGCUGUGGCAGCCACCUGGGGAAGAAGGAACAGGAGGGAAAGCCAACACAGAUGGAGGGCACAGAGGCAGGAGGCCAGCGCUGCACAGCACUCCCCAGCUCCUGCAGAGAGCCCUGCUGUUCCCAACAACAGGGUAGCAGUGCUGAACCACACCACAAAGCCCUGGAUUGAAGUUCCUGCUUAGUCCCAGCUGGGAGGAAAACAGCAGUCUGUGCAUCCCUGAAGCCUUUCAGUCAUUGAAAGGAUUCUAACAACAAUGGUAUGUGUCAGCGUGGUCUUGGUAUCACCUUCAGAUGAAAGCCUGGCUGUGGCUGGGGUUCACUGCACAACCUGCAAGGAGCCCUGGGAAGCUGCAGUCAGCUCUUUCCUCAAGAGUUCAAACCCUUCCCCAAAGCUUCCCCCUGCUCAGGGCCUGCAGCCAGCCAGAGCCACUGGGGCUGGGAAUGCUGACCCCAGCUCCCCCCCAAAGCAGCACAAUGAGGGAUUCACAGAGACCAAGAGGCUCCUGGGGAACCCCAGCACCGUGCUGAGCCUCAGCAGCAGCAUGGACAAGAACCCAAUGGCACAGUUCCCUGGAAGCACAAACAUCAGCAGCAAAGUGAGUCAAGCAGUGCAGAAAAGGGGCUGAUUUUAGCAGAAUUUUUGAAAAGAUGGUCUGUGAUGAGAAGCUCCUUUUCCAUAUAAAAGAAAUCCAUCUGGAAGAUGAACAUCCCAGCUUCCCUUGAAAAGGCUCUCAUGCACACAUUCAGCACUUCUUCCAAAGCCUCAAAGCAAAGGCACAGAAAGGGGAUCAGCUCUCCCUUACCUGCUCUUUGUACCUUUGGGGAAAAGGAUAAAAGUCCUUUUAAAGCUGCAUUUCCCCAGCUCACCCUGGGGACUGGGAGGCCUCAAAGGGGCCAAAGGGACCCCAUGUGGCCUCUCAACUACAAGAGGAGAGCCCACCCCAACCAAGCAGCUUCCAGACACAGCAGGACAAAGCUCAGCUUGAAGGGGACUGACACAUCCUCCUGUCACUGUUGCUGACUGUAACCCACCUCUUUCCCCUACAAGGUUUGCAAUGUUCCCCACAGCUGAGCCAGUCUUGAGGGUCGCUGCUGCCAAACUCCACCCUGACCCAAUCCAUUCCCCUUUCCUGCCAAGGACAACUAGGAAAACUUUCCAGUCUUGCCCCUCACGUUUAACAUGUUCCACACCUUUGCUCCCAUAAUCCCAUCACUUUUUCCUCUACCCAAUCCUCCACCCAGUUUCCUUUUACGCCCAUCUUCACACCUCGUUCCUCCAGCCCCGUACUGCCAUGGCCUCUCUAGCUUUGCCCAGCUAUGCCUCAGCUCUCCAAAUGCUCAAAUUUCUCUUUAAAAUGUCUUUUCCUUACAGUUUUUCAGCAGCCACCCAACCCUUUCUUUGUUGAGACAAAGAAAACUGACUCACUAUGAGACCAGGCAUUGAUCCCUACAGCACAAGGGCUGAGCUGAUCAGAAACUUCAUAGUGAUCUCCAUGACAAGAAGUGAUGACUGCAUGGUGUAAGUGCUUAUUAAACAAAGCAAUCAACGCUGA